UACAGAGGGUGCAAGCGUUGUUCGGAAUUAUUGGGCGUAAAGCGCGUGUAGGCGGCCUUGCAAGUCGGGUGUGAAAGCCCCCGGCUCAACUGGGGAGGGUCACGCGAUACUGAUCGACUCGAAGGCAGGAGAGGGUAGUGGAAUUCCCGGUGUAGUGGUGAAAUGCGUAGAUAUCGGGAGGAACACCAGUGGCGAAGGCGACUACCUGGCCUGUUCUUGACGCUGAGGCGCGAAAGCUAGGGGAGCAAACGGG
rnacentral:rRNA from 1 species